rnacentral:ncRNA from 1 species
AUACAGACGUUUUUGAAUCAGAUUGUAUUUACAAUCAUAGAGGUUGGUUAUAUUUUGUUAUAUUUAGUAUAGUCUUGGCCCCCGCCAAGAAUAAAUCAGACUAUUUGCUGGAAACACCGGUGUAUCUUGGGCUACCUAAUUUAGGUAAUAAAGCAUCAAGUGCGGUUAAUCAGCAGGAAAGAUCCUUUGAGAAAUCAAAGGAAAUCCUCACAGGCCAUACGUCUGAUCCUGACAACAAAUCAGGAAAGAUAUGGUCGGAUCCUCAUAGCGAUAUGAGG